UACGAAGAAGCCCAAAACACAGCCCCAAGCAGGAACCAGCUUAGAAGUAUCCCUCAAGGGAAUAAACCUGGGGAUCUUCCUGGAAAGAGAGAGACAGGAGGUCCUGAGGAAGGGCACAAGGGACAAGGAAAGCAGCUCCCAGCUUCAGCAGUCUGCAAACCAGCCUGUCAAUUUGAAGGACACAUAGCCUGUGGGAUAGGGUGGGGCUUGUUAAGGCAUUAAGAAGGCCAGACCCCAAGUCGAGACCUGCCAAAGAUACCAGCAGGGACUAGAGGAGCAGACAGUUUGCGCAAGUUAGCUAUAAGUGGUGUAGCCUGUUCUGGCCUGGAGAAGACAAGGGGAUACAACAGCUGUAGCCACAAGCCUGACUAGUCCCCAAAACUUUGGAGAACUAGGCCUGGAGGUACAAACCUGUUCCUGGGUCUGAUUCCUGGAUGGAUCCACUGAGCUCCAAACAGUUGCCGGAGGAAGUCACAGUCUUACAGCAGAAAUUGUCCACAGGCAUUUUCCAGUACCUCCAGUAAUUGGUUAAACAGCAGGUGUGGUCGUGGGCAUCCUUGUCUUUUUCCAGAUCUUAAGGGGGGCGCAUUUAAAUUUUUUC
rnacentral:lncRNA from 10 species